rnacentral:lncRNA from 1 species
UGGAGUUUGGAAAAGGUUUUCUUAUUCUUGCACAUUUAAAAUUGGAAAGUUGUGAUGUCUUGGAUAAGACAAAGACCAACUAGGACCAAUUUUUUGAAGUGUUUUGUCUUGAUAAAAAGCUACACUAACUCUUGAAUAUUUGUUUGUCAAGAAAUGUUUAUUGACAAAAGAAUCUUAUAUGUCAAGGAGUCAGUGGGAGUCUCAAUGGUCUUGAAAGGUUUCAAGAACUAAUCAAGAAUAAACCUUAUCAAUCAUCACUAGCACACGACUUGAGGUUUACAACCUAUCGUGUUGACACUAUCUUGUUUCUGUGUCGUUCCAAUUGAGUUAAUUAUGCAUGUGAGUUCUAUGAGUUCUCAUUUGAAUGCAUAAAAGGCGAGGACCUUGAUCAAUGAAAAGCACAUUGAUAAGAAAGGAUGAGCUGCUUAACUACUUGGAAGACAUGGUGGACACUCGUGUUACCAUAAGGCAAGAAAUCAAGAUUAAGAAAGUUCGGUCGAUAUGAGUUUGGGUUUGUCGCAAACUUUGGUUUUGGACAACUUCGCAUGGAUAGGAACACAUACACCAUUAAAAUAUAAGUGUCAUAAGAUUCCCUCCAGCAUGAAGAUGACUGUGAGGAAAUGCUUUCACCAAGAGAGAUUUUAAGAAGAUAGUGAUUGUGAAAAUUGUAUUCUCGAAUUUGAUUAUGGUUACGGUAUCCCUUUCCAUAUUUCGAAUUGUGAGAUUUGGCAAUUAGUCUGAAUUGUUUAGACACACAUAUGAGACAUCUAAGGCAAAGGUGUAUAAGGUUGAGAACCUUUGAAAAAAGAUUAUCAAAGCAUUAGGUAUUAGAAAUAUGAACUUAAGAAAUUCAAUAAGUAUUGUUUUUCAUGAAGUUAUUUGAUUAUGGUUACGGUAUCCCUUUCCAUAUUUCGAAUUGUGAGAUUUGGCAAUUAGUCUGAAUUGUUUAGACACACAUAUGAGACAUCUAAGGCAAAGGUGUAUAAGGUUGAGAACCUUUGAAAAAAGAUUAUCAAAGCAUUAGGUAUUAGAAAUAUGAACUUAAGAAAUUCAAUAAGUAUUGUUUUUCAUGAAGUUAAGCUGUUUUCUGAAUACAUGUCAAAGCUAGUGGGUGCAUAAGUGUUAUGCUUAUAUGAUAAUAAUCAUCAUGAUAGUGGGAGCAUAAAUGUUGUGCUUUUAUGAUUAUUAAGGCAAGUAUUG